rnacentral:lncRNA from 1 species
GUUACUGUCUUUCCAGGCAUUAGGGAGCCAGUCUUGUACUCUCAGCUCCGUUCUUCCUCUGUGACCUGCACACUGUCUUACAGAACUUCUCUCCACCUUCAUCUUUAUUCCUGGUCUUCUCCUUACCACCGCCCACAGCCCUCCUUUGCCUUGCUGUUUGCCUCCGAGAUGCUGUGAUCACAUACUAUGAAGAUUCAAGGGGAUGGUUAAUUCCAGUGAUUUGAAUUUAAUGCGAUGCUAUGCAACUUACAGAAAGCAUGAAGCUGAUUUGUAUGCACAGACGUGGGAGAAGUAUGGGGACAAAUGGAGUGACAGAAGCGAGCUGCAGCACGGCAUGUCUAAUAGGAUGCAGCGUGUGCGCAUGCGUGUGCCGGAGGCCAGGCUGGGGAAGGUUGUCCGCGGAGCUCUGGAGACAAGAAUGACUUGGGGUGGGGAAGCCGUUUG